rnacentral:rRNA from 1 species
UCGGGAAUUUUGGGCAAUGGGCGAAAGCCUGACCCAGCAACGCCGCGUGAGGGAUGAAGUAUUUCGGUAUGUAAACCUCGAAAGAAUGGGAAGAAUAAAUGACGGUACCAUUUAUAAGCUCCGGCUAACUACGUGCCAGCAGCCGCGGUAAUACGUAGGGAGCAAGCGUUGUUCGGAUUUACUGGGCGUAAAGGGCGCGUAGGCGGCGCGGUAAGUCACUUGUGAAAUCUCUGAGCUUAACUCAGAACGGCCAAGUGAUACUGCUGUGCUAGAGUGCGGAAGAGGCAACCGGAAUUCUUGGUGUAGCGGUGAAAUUCGUAGAUAUCAAGAGGAACACCUGAGGCGAAGGCGGGUUGCUGGGCCGACACUGACGCUAAUGCGCGAA